rnacentral:lncRNA from 1 species
CUAAGAUUCCCUGACCCCCUGAUUCCUCACUAGCUACCACAUUUGGAGUAAAAGAUAGAUACCGUUGGCUUACUUCUGCAGUUCUAAUUUGAUCAUUUAGAUUUUGUAAUAUACUAUCAUUUUAGUAACUAUGUGUUAGCAAUCCCUCAGAUUCAUUUUUAAAGUAGAUCAGAAAUAACGUAACAAAGUCCAUUUAACAAGCUUAUGUAUAUUUCUGUUAGCCACUUCUUGUGUUCAAAGUUUGAUGCUUGGUUCAAAUUGCAACGUAAAAAUGAGGCAUAUGGUAUCAUGCUACCUGGGAUGAGAAGGCAUGUCUUUUAUUUGAAUCUUUCAGCUACGCUUCAGAGAGAUUGAUUUGAGACAUAUUACAUUUCAUAUUCUUUUUAUCUCUAUGUAAUUAUAUAUUCCAGGAACAAAUUCACAUUUGCUUUAACAUAGACAAGUGGUUUAUGUGCUUGUUUCUUUUCUACUAUCAUUUCCAAAAAUUGUACCAUGUCUUCUUAAAAAAAAAAAAAAACAACUGUCUUCCUCCCCUCUAAAUUAUCCUGGAAAUACAUGAGAAGUGGUAUGUAAGGUCACACCAGCAGCCUGUUAACUAAAGAUGUAGGUUAUUUUUGUUUUUUGUGUUUUAUUUAGUUUAUUUAGUUUAAGAAGUACUAUAGAAUUGUGCUGUCAAAGCUACUGCAAAUGUAUUAAGUUAUUAUGGCAAUUACAAUACAUAAUAAAUACAUUGUAAUUUAUAUUCAGUUUAUUUGAAAUAUAAAAAUAUUUCAAGAGAAGGUAAAUGACACUCCCACUGAAUUUAAUAGGAGUUCACUGCUGAGCUCUUUUAAACAUUUUCUUUGAAAUCAAGAAGAGUUUUCUCUGUAGUGGAUCAGGUCGCUAGACUCAUCUUGAUUUUUUCGCCAGAUAAUCUUCAUGCUGUGAAGUAAGAGCUCAAGAACAUUGGAGGGUGGAAUGUUGAAGACAGAAAGAAACAAAAGGCUAAGCAAUUUUGUAGGGUUCCAUUGGGGUGGAUGGCACUGGAGUGUUAGAGCUUUCUACGCCUUUCCUACAACCUGUUCAAGAGCCAGCAAUUGUAUUAUUUAUCUCAGAGCCUUCUCCCAGUUUUUAGGCAUUGGUUCAUGUCACCGCACACGUACAUAUGGAGUUACAUUGCCACCUCCCUGUUGAUGCUAGUUUAAAAACCUUCUCAGGAACAUUUCUUCCUUUUGCAAGAUGGAUCUGUCUACCUUUGCACAGUUGUCUUCUGUGCCAGAACACCACCUUGUGGAAGUGGAAAGCAGAGCUUCAUCUUUGCUUGGCUAGAAAGACUGAAAAUUCUUCUCCCUUACUUUUGGGUCCUUUUAAUUGCUUCUGAAAAGCUCUGGGAGUAUUUGUCAGUGCCAUUAGUGCCCAUAUGGAUGAGCUGCAUGGAAUAAAAGUCAGAAGCUGAAUGAACGUCA